rnacentral:rRNA from 1 species
CCUACGGGUGGCAGCAGUGAGGAAUAUUGGUCAAUGGACGCAAGUCUGAACCAGCCAUGCCGCGUGCAGGAAGACGGCUCUAUGAGUUGUAAACUGCUUUUGUACGAGGGUAAACGCAGAUACGCGUACCUGUCUGAAAGUAUCGUACGAAUAAGGAUCGGCUAACUCCGUGCCAGCAGCCGCGGUAAUACGGAGGAUUCAAGCGUUAUCCGGAUUUAUUGGGUUUAAAGGGUGCGUAGGCGGUCGGAUAAGUUAGAGGUGAAAUCCCGAGGCUCAACUUCGGAAUUGCCUUUGAUACUGGUUGACUAGAGAGUAGUUGAGGUAGGCGGAAUGUGUGGUGUAGCGGUGAAAUGCUUAGAGAUCAUGCAGAACACCGAUUGCGAAGGCAGCCUGCCGCAGCGUUACUGACGCUGAAGCUCGAAAGCGCGGGGAUCGAACAGGAUUAGAUACCCCAGUAGUC